rnacentral:rRNA from 1 species
AUACGGAGGGUGCAAGCGUUAAUCGGAAUUACUGGGCGUAAAGCGUACGUAGGCGGUCCGUUAAGUUAGAUGUGAAAGCCCCGGGCUUAACCUGGGAACUGCAUUUAAAACUGGCGGACUAGAGUUGAGUAGAGGGGAGUGGAAUUUCAGGUGUAGCGGUGAAAUGCGUAGAGAUCCGAAGGAACACCAGUGGCGAAGGCGACUCCCUGGACUCGAACUGACGCUGAGGUACGAAAGCGUGGGUAGCAAACGGGAUUAGAAACCCCGGUAGUCC